CCUGCGUACAGGCGGUAUGGUCACGUCGACCUUGACGAGGGCGAGACGGAAGUCCGGUGGGAAUCCGGCACGGUCGCGCCACUGUGAACCCGCAUCCACGCGGGGAGUCAGACCCGCCGCCCUCGUCCACGGCAC
rnacentral:ncRNA from 2 species